rnacentral:rRNA from 1 species
AAGUGGGGAAUACCUCGGGGAAACUCGAGCUAAUUCCGCAUGACAUCUUCGGGACGAAAGUCCUGACGAUCAAAGCGGGGUCGCAAGAUCUCGCGCUACCGGAUGGGCCCGCGCCCGAUUAGCUAGUUGGUGAGGUAAUGGCUCACCAAGGCUUCGAUCGGUAACCGGCCUGAGAGGGCGAUCGGUCACACCGGAACUGAGACACGGUCCGGACUCCUACGGGAGGCAGCAGUGGGGAAUAUUGGACAAUGGGCGAAAGCCUGAUCCAGCAAUGCGCGUGAGUGAUGAAGGCCUUCGGGUUGUAAAGCUCUGUCGGGAGGGACGAAAAAGCGGAUUAACAAACCGCAUUG